rnacentral:rRNA from 1 species
UAAGACGAACCGUGCGAACGUUGUUCGGAAUCACUGGGCUUAAAGGGCGCGUAGGCGGCUUGCCAAGUCAGGGGUGAAAUCUUUCGGCUUAACCGGAAAAGUGCCUUUGAUACUGGCGAGCUCGAGUGAGGUAGGGGCAGAUGGAACUGUUGGUGGAGCGGUGAAAUGUGUUGAUAUCAACAGGAACGCCGGUGGCGAAAGCGAUCUGCUGGACCUCUUCUGACGCUGAGGCGCGAAAGCUAGGGGAGCAAACGGGAUUAGAUACCCCGGUAGUCCUAGCCCUAAACGAUGGGUACUGAGUAGUGGACUUACAUGGGUUCACUGCUGAAGCAAAAGUGGUAAGUACCCCGCCUGGGGAGUAUGGUCGCAAGGCUG